GGCCAGAGUGCCCAACACUGAUGGCAGGAACCUAAGUGAAAAUUCAGCUCCUUGGAAAGGGCUGGACUUCUCUGAAGACAUUAUUUGAAGAGUUAAAAACAUGAAUUUGGAAAAGCUAAGAGGGCAAGCUGCAACACAGGAAUAUUGUAACAAGAAAUAUUUAAUUUCAACCUUUGGUGCUG